UCCAGUAAUCAUAAGCAACCAUCCCAGUUACCAUUAGGCAUCCCAGGGUCCGGCCUUCCUCCAGAGAAGGGGAAGGGACUCUCUUUUGUCUCCUGGGAAAUGUCCCUGGGGAUAAGAACCUAACUUUGUUGUGUGGGUGAUGUAUAUUUGAUACCUGCCGGUGUCUACAGGGCUCAGCAAUGGCAGGAAGAACAGAGAGGUGGGCGUGGCCCAGAGGUGAGGGAAGGCACUGAGCCAGGUUAUAGGAUGCUGCAAGAGGGUGACCUGAUAGUCUCAGGCCCCAGUGUUUCUUAGCUGGGUGAGGAGGGCUGAACAAGUUGUCAAGGCUUUGUUUUCUCAUCUGUAAAAUGGGCUCAGCAGUGAGUAGUGUCUAGGCACGGUAUACCCUGCCUCAGUUAUUCAGCUCCUACUUAGGUCCACCAGCCUUCCCUCCUUUUGUUUUUAAAUAACCCUAUGCAGCUGAAGUGACCCCCUCCCCCCAUUGAGCAGGAGGGCAUGGUAGAGGCGUAGAGGGGAGAUCUGCCUUGUCUAGCUUGCCCACCCAGGGUGCAGCAGGCUGGGGUGGCGUCAGAUGGACUCCAGAGCCUGGGAGCUAGCGUUCGUGGAGUAGAGGAAUAGUAAUGAGUCUAUUUAUUGAGCUUCUUGUUCAACAAGGCUUCUUCCUUUAAUCUCUACAACAGCCCCGAUUAAAUGACUGGCCCUAAAAGUCAGCCAGACGUGUGUGGCUUCUCUGCUCCCACAGGAGGGAGUUCGGGCUUAGAGCUGGGGUGGGGUGAGUCUGGUACUCACCACUGUAUGUGGACUUGGUUUACAAAGACACGAGUGAAAAUAGUGGCUCCAGGGCUAGGAUGGAGCCCAGUGGCAGAAGGUUAGCUCAGCCUAUGGGUGGCCCGGGGUCCCACCCAGCAGUGUAAGGAUAAAAUAAGAGUGAGCUUCAAAAGCUGCUGUUUGGUUGGGGCCAUGGAGAUGGCUUGGCAGGUCAGGGCACUUGUCACAAGUCUGACAACCUGAAGGUUGGUCCCCAGGACCCAUAUGGUUGGAGGGGAGAACCUGACUUCUACAAGGAGAGUAAGAAGCCAGGUCACAGAGGACAAGUCAGAGCCCUCUGUCCCAGACAGGAAGCUGAAUCUCUUCAUUCCCAUCCAUUGCGUGCUUUCUGGUGCUCUGUGGGAAGAGUAUGUACAUUCUCCAGAGGUCCUGGGUCUCAACCUACGGGAUGCCUCCCUCGUAGCUCAAGGAUGAUGUUCCAAAGGUCGCAGCCGCAGAUCUCCCACAACUGAAUCACGAAGAAGCUUGGAUGUGUACAGAGGUGUUGGGAGGCAUCCAAGGUGCUCUGGAUGCAGUUCCAGAAAAACUCUCUAGAAUAUGGAAGCUCGUUGUUUCAGCGGAAGGAGAUGAAGGAGGAAUGAGACCAAGACGAGGGAUUGGGAGGAAUGGAAGCCACUGAAGAAGUGGGCACACGAAGGGAACUUGAUCCUGAUCAGGAAGGAGGAACAGAAAUAGAGCAGGGCCAGUGCCCCUGCCUCCCCUGACUGUGAUCGACAAUAUCUGUCCUUGGUACACACCUCUGCAGAAGCAACUGAGCAGCUAUCUGCCUCCGAGCGUCUGCAGAGGGUACCGAGAUGCAGAGAGGAGAGAGGGAUGGAGUGCAGGACCCCAAGCCAGCAGCUCCACUCCAAUGUCAAGACUGCUUGAUUUGCUAAGUAUCUGAAGGGGAGGGAGGCAGGUCAGACUAGCAAUGGGCAAAUAGGGAGAGUCUUUGCUGGCUGUCAGGCUCUGUGCUAUGGGUGCUGUAAGUGUAUCUGCUACUCUUCUGUCCAUUGUAUCAGAAUUCAUGACAGUGGCAACUUAAAAAUGAAGGUCUACUUGUGUAUCUUUUUUUUUUUUUAAAGGUUUACUUAUUUAUGUGAG